rnacentral:rRNA from 1 species
CUAAGGCGAGGCCGAAAGGCGUAGUCGAUGGGAAAAUGGUUAAUAUUCCAUUACUUCUGUGUAAUGCGAUGAGAGGACGGAGAAGGCUAAAUCAGCCUGGCGUUGGUUGUCCAGGUGAAAGGAUGUAGGCAUGUAUCUUAGGCAAAUCCGGGGUACUCUAUGCUGAGAUCUGAUAGCAAGCUGUACUUGUACAGCGAAGUGGUUGAUGCCAUGCUUCCAGGAAAAGUCUCUAAGCUUCAGUUACACAGGAAUCGUACCCGAAACCGACACAGGUGGUCAGGUCGAGUAGACCAAGGCGCUUGAGAGAACUCUGCUGAAGGAACUAGGCAAAAUGGUACCGUAACUUCGGGAGAAGGUACGCUGUUGUUGGUGAUGGAACUCGCUUCCUGAGCUGACGACAGCCGCAGAAACCAGGCCGCUGCAACUGUUUAUUAAAAACAUAGCACUCUGCAAACACGAAAGUGGACGUAUAGGGUGUGAUGCCUGCCCGGUGCUGGAAGGUUAAUUGAUGGGGUUAGCGUAAGCGAAGCUCUUGAUCGAAGCCCCAGUAAACGGCGGCCGUAACUAUAACGGUCCUAAGGUAGCGAAAUUCCUUGUCGGGUAAGUUCCGACCUGCACGAAUGGCAUAAUGAUGGCGGCGCUGUCUCCAGCAGAGGCUCAGUGAAAUCGAAAUCGCUGUGAAGAUGCAGUGUACCCGCGGCUAGACGGAAAGACCCCGUGAACCUUUACUGCAGCUUGACACUGAACUUUGACCUUACUUGUGUAGGAUAGGUGGGAGGCUUUGAAGCUGGAACGCUAGUUCCAGUGGAGCCGUCCUUGAAAUACCACCCUGGUAAUGUUGAGGUUCUAACUCUGUCCCGUGAUCCGGGACGAGGACCGUGUCUGGUGGGUAGUUUGACUGGGGCGGUCUCCUCCUAAAGAGUAACGGAGGAGUACGAAGGUGCGCUCAGCGUGGUCGGAAAUCACGCGUAGAGUAUAAAGGCAAAAGCGCGCUUAACUGCGAGACCCACAAGUCGAGCAGGUACGAAAGUAGGUCUUAGUGAUCCGGUGGUUCUGUAUGGAAGGGCCAUCGCUCAACGGAUAAAAGGUACUCUGGGGAUAACAGGCUGAUACCGCCCAAGAGUUCAUAUCGACGGCGGUGUUUGGCACCUCGAUGUCGGCUCAUCUCAUCCUGGGGCUGAAGCAGGUCCCAAGGGUAUGGCUGUUCGCCAUUUAAAGAGGUACGCGAGCUGGGUUUAGAACGUCGUGAGACAGUUCGGUCCCUAUCUACCGUGGGCGCUGGAAAUUUGAGAGGAUCUGCUCCUAGUACGAGAGGACCAGAGUGGACGAACCUCUGGUGUACCGGUUGUGACGCCAGUCGCAUCGCCGGGUAGCUAUGUUCGGAAGGGAUAACCGCUGAAAGCAUCUAAGCGGGAAGCCUACCUCAAGAUAAGAUUUCCCUAGGACUUUAUGUCCUCUAAAGAGCCGUUCGAGACUAGGACGUUGAUAGGUUGGAUGUGGAAGCAUAGUGAUAUGUGAAGCUGACCAAUACUAAUUGCUCGUGAGGCUUGACUAUACAACACCCA